rnacentral:ncRNA from 1 species
CUUUUCACCUCGGGGUGCCUUACUAUCAGGCUGAGAUUACACCCGUUGAACCUGACCAGGUAAUGCUGUUUAGGAAAGGUAAGUGACGUUUUC